rnacentral:lncRNA from 1 species
UGGGUGGCAGGCAAGGGGAAAAGGAAGACAGCAAUGCCAACUCUCCCCUCAGGAAAUAUCUUAGUGGGCCAGUGAGCAUGAACCUUUGUCGGGGCAUUUCUUCUUUGUUUACUGGGAAGGAGAAGGUGGUCAGUCGGGAUGUGGUGAGGCCCCAGCACGACACAGACAAACUCUUCCACCGUGUGUGACUUAUGAACCCUGAACGCAGAGGAGAGUAGGAGAGCCUGCAUGCACGACAGCGCUCACCCACGAUGCCUGCCAUCAUCUUGACAGAUGCAUGCACCCCAGCUCUCACCCGGUAUAUCUGCCGUCAGACGCACAGCUCUCAUCGUACAGUCACCUUGGCAGAGCACAGCUUCUCCCCAGGAGGUGAGGAAAUGGCUUGCCCCUGCCGGUUUCUCCUGCCACUUCAAUCAUGUGCACUUAACUGGACACAUUCUCGCUUCCAUUACCACAGUGGCCAGAAAUUUUAGGAAUUUAAAAAAAGGGGCGGGGGACAUUUCAAGGGUCCAGGGCUCUGAGCUCCUGUUGAUUUCUUAACACGCUCUGGCUGGCCCUUUGCUGUUCCCAGGUCUGUCCUAAGCAAUGUCUAUAGCAGCAGAAGAAAUGGCCUCACGGUUGGUUGUACACGUCCAAGCAGGUCUCUGAACACUGUCAUCUGACUCAUAAAAUGUUCUGGCUGUUUCACAGAGCAACCGAGGCCCAGUAGGACCAGGGUCACAGGGCCACAGACAGCAAUGUUUGGAUUAGGCUUGCCUUAGAUAGCUUGAACCAACCAUAUCCUGCCUUUCAGAGAAGGUAGGCAUGGCAGGGGGGAGCGCCGGAUGAGAAGGAACUCCAAGGAAUGACUCCAAGUUCUGGGGCUGGGGCAGGAAACCAUCUGCAUUAUGUUGGCCUUGUGACCUCCAGCCAGAGCUGUUCUGAACUCGAUUCCUAUGCUGAGGAAGCUGUCAAGCUCCCUCCAGGUGCUGUGUAGUCUGCGAGGAGGCUGGGAGUGAUUGGUGUAGUCAGGCCAGAUGUGGCCUGAACUGGUCCUCUGCAAGGCCCUCUAAGUUGGUGCUGUCUUAGUAUCACAUGCACGAUACAGUGGCCUGAGACUUGCUGGCUGUUUACCGAGAAGGCUUGUGACUCCCGGGCUCUAAAAUUAGGCCACAGCAAGGACAGUGUCAACCCUGUCCCUGAGACUCCUGGGGACUGUGGGAGUUACAGUCUGCUCUCUGCUCUGGCCUUCAGCAUGGCCUCUUAGAGACAAAAUCACAGCUCUCCUCAGAAAUCCUGUCCACCAAGGCCUCUGCUUCAGUUUCCCCAAACGCCUUGCUUUGAGAGGCCAUGGUUGGCAAAAAGCAGGGCACCUGACACAGGUGGCCAUCCCUGUGAAUCAUCCUUGUCCUUACUUGAGUAGGAGCAGAAGUGGCACCUGCCUGCCCAUGGGCUUGGUCUGAGUACUGACAAGAACAUCACAAUGCUAUAGAAAAGCCAGCAGUGGGGCUGGAGAGAUGGCUCGGCGGUUAAGAACACUGACUGCUCUUCUGGAGGUUCUGAGCUCCAAUUCCAGCAACUACAUGGUAGCUCAUAACCAUCUGUAUAGCUACAGUGUACUCAUACACAAAAAAAUAAGUAAAUAAACCUUUU